rnacentral:rRNA from 1 species
AUACGGAGGAUGCGAGCGUUAUCCGGAUUUAUUGGGUUUAAAGGGAGCGUAGGCGGGAGCUUAAGUCAGCGGUUAAAUGGUGCGGCUCAACCGUGCCCUGCCGUUGAAACUGGGUUUCUUGAGAGUGCAAGAGGCGGAUGGAAUUCAUGGUGUAGCGGGUAAAUGCUUAGAUAUCAUGAAGAACUCCGAUUGCGAAGGCAGUCCGCUGGGGCACGUCUGACGCUGAUGCUCGAAGGUGCGGGAAUCAAACAGGAUUAGAUACCCUGGUAGUCCGCACGGUAAACGAUGAUUACCCGCUGUCGGCGGCAGACAGUCGGCGGCCAAGCGAAAGCGAUAAGUAAUCCACCUGGGGAGUACGCCGGCAACGGUGAAACUUAAAGGAAUUGACGGGG